rnacentral:piRNA from 1 species
UUCAAACCAGGAGUCUAAUGUGGGAUUGA